GACGAACGCUGGCGGCGUGCUUAACACAUGCAAGUCGAACGAUGAAGCCCAGCUUGCUGGGUGGAAGAGUGGCGAACGGGUGAGUAACACGUGAGUAACCUGCCCUGAACUCUGGGAUAAGCACUGGAAACGGUGUCUAAUACUGGAUACGACCUAUCACCGCAUGGUGUGUGGGUGGAAAGAUUUAUCGGUUCUGGAUGGACUCGCGGCCUAUCAGCUAGAUGGUGAGGUAAUGGCUCACCAUGGCGACGACGGGUAGCCGGCCUGAGAGGGUGACCGGCCACACUGGGACUGAGACACGGCCCAGACUCCUACGGGAGGCAGCAGUGGGGAAUAUUGCACAAUGGGCGCAAGCCUGAUGCAGCAACGCCGCGUGAGGGAUGACGGCCUUCGGGUUGUAAACCUCCUUUAGUAGGGAAGAAGCGAAAGUGACGGUACCUGCAGAAAAAGCACCGGCUAACUACGUG
rnacentral:rRNA from 1 species